rnacentral:rRNA from 1 species
GACGAACGCUGGCGGUGUGCUUAACACAUGCAAGUCGAACGGUAAGGCCCUUUCGGGGGUACACGAGUGGCGAACGGGUGAGUAACACGUGAGUAACCUGCCCUCAUCUCUGGGAUAACAGUCGGAAACGGUUGCUAAUACUGGAUAUGAGCUUGCAAGGCAUCUUGUGGGUUGGAAAGAUUUUUUUGGUUGGGGAUGGACUCGCGGCCUAUCAGCUUGUUGGUGAGGUAGUGGCUCACCAAGGCUUCGACGGGUAGCCGGCCUGAGAGGGCGACCGGCCACAUUGGGACUGAGAUACGGCCCAAACUCCUACGGGAGGCAGCAGUGGGGAAUAUUGCACAAUGGACGGAAGUCUGAUGCAGCAACGCCGCGUGCGGGAUGACGGCCUUCGGGUUGUAAACCGCUUUCAAUUGUGACGAAGCUUUUUGUGACGGUAGCAGUAGAAGAAGCACCGGCUAACUACGUG